AACGAACGCUGGCGGCAUGCCUAACACAUGCAAGUCGAACGGGAUCCUAGCUUGCUAGGUGAGAGUGGCGGACGGGUGAGUAACACGUGGGAAUCUGCCUUUUGGUUCGGGAUAACCGCGGGAAACUGCGGCUAAUACCGAAUGCCCUCGAGAGAGGAAAGAUUUAUCGCCAGAAGAGGAGCCCGCGUCCGAUUAGGUAGUUGGUGGGGUAAAGCCUACCAAGCCGACGAUCGGUAGCUGGUCUGAGAGGAUGAUCAGCCACACUGGGACUGAGAUACGGCCCAGACUCCUACGGGAGCAGCAGUGGGGAAUAUUGGACAAUGGGGGCAACCCUGAUCCAGCAAUGCCGCGUGAGUGAUGAAGGCCUUAGGGUUGUAAAGCUCUUUGCCUAGGAAGAUGAUGACUGUACCUGGAG
rnacentral:rRNA from 1 species